GUGCUUAUUUUGGCAGCAUAUAUAUUAAAAUUAUAAUGAUACAGAGACUGUUAACAUGGCUCCUGCACAAGGAUGACAAACAAUAAUAAUAAUUAAUAAUAAUAAUA